rnacentral:rRNA from 1 species
UACGUAGGGGGCUAGCGUUGUCCGGAUUUAUUGGGCGUAAAGAGCGUGUAGGCGGCCAGGUAGGUCUGCUGUGAAAACUCGAGGCUCAACCUCGAGACGUCGGCGGAAACCAUCUGGCUAGAGUCCGGAAGAGGAGAGUGGAAUUCCUGGUGUAGCGGUGAAAUGCGCAGAUAUCGGAAGGAACACCAGUGGCGAAAAGCGGCUUCCUGGUCCAGCACCGACGUCAGGCACGAAAGCGUGGGGAGCAAACAGGG